rnacentral:lncRNA from 1 species
UAAACACAAUCACACUACAGUAAUGUCUGAUUUAAAAUAAAAAAAUACUAAUACAAAAUAGAACCUGGUUGUUUUCCCCCACACUAAAACAGUUUCUUUUUUUAAACAUGAAAAAUAUAUAUUUUUAUAUAUAUUUCAGCAGCUUAGGGGGAAUUUAUAUAUUUUUUUAAAUGCAUGAGCCCAAAAAUCUAUAGUUGAUGAGAGUAUUGAGAUAGCGUGAAGGAGGCGUGUGUUGUUGCAGAGACCCGCGCUUGUCAAAAAUAAAGAGCCGGCAUAAAACCUCCCAUCACGACGAUGAGAUGGCGGUUGGUUAGGGUGAGCUCCGUUCUGUAAACCGCUGGCUGGCUCUGUGGAAGACCUGUGUCCAGAGAGAUUGACUAAGGAUGCCUCCCAAAUGGAACCCUAUAUAGGACGCUACUUUUGGCAAGAGCGCCACAGUGCCAGCUUAACAAGCCUAUGGUGGCCCUUUGCGCCCUAGUCAAAAGUAGUGAGUCAGGUGCCAUUUGGGACACACACAGCCUGAGAGACAGGCAGGCUUGAGUGGCGUUAGUGUGAGCAGAGGACUAGAGGAGUGAGGGGAGAGGCAGGGGCUUGAGUGGCGUUAGUGUGAGCAGGGGACUAGAGGAGUGAGGCGGGGCGUGAGUGGCAGUUAUGUGCAGGUGGACUAGACGUAUUGAGGCGGUGGCGUUGAGUGCGGAUAUGGAGCAGGGACUAGAGGUGAGGGGAGAGGCAGGGGCUUGAGUGGCGUUAGUGUGAGCAGGGACGAGAGGAUGUAGGUCGUAGGGCUGAGUUGGCGUAUGUUGAGACAGGACUAGAGGUAUAGGUGAAUGCACCCG